UGGGGAAUAUUGGACAAUGGGCGCAAGCCUGAUCCAGCCAUGCCGCGUGUGUGAAGAAGGCCUUUUGGUGGUAAAGCACUUUAAGCGAGGAGGAGGCUACUUGGAUUAAUACUCUAGGAUAGUGGACGUUACUCGCAGAAUAAGCACCGGCUAACUCUGUGCCAGCAGCCGCGGUAAUACAGAGGGUGCGAGCGUUAAUCGGAUUUACUGGGCGUAAAGCGUGCGUAGGCGGCUUUUUAAGUCGGAUGUGAAAUCCCUGAGCUUAACUUAGGAAUUGCAUUCGAUACUGGGAAGCUAGAGUAUGGGAGAGGAUGGUAGAAUUCCAGGUGUAGCGGUGAAAUGCGUAGAGAUCUGGAGGAAUACCGAUGGCGAAGGCAGCCAUCUGGCCUAAUACUGACGCUGAGGUACGAAAGCAUGGGGAGCAAACAGG
rnacentral:rRNA from 1 species